UCGCUGGAACUACAGGCAUGAGCCACCGCCCCUGGCCAUGGGCCUGGUCUUUAAAAAGAUUGUGACUAUUUGAAACUUAAAACUUCCAUGGGCAGGAAGUGGGCUGAGAAAUCCACACAACCCUCAAGGAGGGUGGAACACACAAUCCCUACUUCAGAUAUGAUCGAGUAAAGUAAGGAAGAAGAGCAAAUCCAAUGCGGUACAUGGAGACCAGCAGAACAGACUGUGGUAGAGACUUCAGGCUCAGCCAGAUCUGGUUCUCUUCUCCUUCCUGGGUACCAGGGAGAACCACACCUCCCAGGCUCCUUGCAGUUCCACAGGAACAUGUGACUAGCUCCGGCCCAAGGGCUCGGAGAAGUGUCACGUGUUGCUUCCAGGUUGCAAGUGAAUGUGAGUUAUCCGCACUUUCUCAUUCCCUUUAGUAGCAACCGUGGAGACCACAUGUUGAGAUGGCAGAGCGUGGAUCCCUGGGCUGCCACAGAA
rnacentral:lncRNA from 1 species